rnacentral:rRNA from 1 species
UACGUAGGGGGCAAGCGUUGUCCGGAAUUAUUGGGCGUAAAGAGCGUGUAGGCGGUCCGGUAAGUCAGCUGUGAAAGUCAAGGGCUCAACCCUUGAAUGCCGGUUGAUACUGUCGGGCUAGAGUCCGGAAGAGGCGAGUGGAAUUCCCGGUGUAGCGGUGAAAUGCGCAGAUAUCGGGAGGAACACCAAUGGCGAAGGCAGCUCGCUGGGACGGUACUGACGCUGAGGUGCGAAAGCGUGGGGAGCGAACAGG